rnacentral:sRNA from 1 species
GUAGGCAAGGGCUGCUGUGCUGCUCUCAAAGCUCUUGGAGCAAUUGUCUACAUUACCGAAAUCGACCCCAUCUGUGCUCUGCAGGCCUGCAUGGAUGGGUUCAGGGUGGUAAAGCUAAAUGAAGUCAUCCGGCAAGUCGAUGUCGUAAUAACUUGCACAGGCUUUGGCACUGAUAGAACUCUAUAAUGCACCCGAGGGACGAUACAAGCAGGAUGUGUACUUGCUUCCUAAGAAAAUGGAUGAAUACGUUGCCAGCUUGCACCUGCCAUCAUUUGAUGCCCACCUUACAGAGCUGACAGAUGACCAAGCAAAAUAUCUGGGACUCAACAAAAAUGGGCCAUUCAAACCUAAUUAUUACAGAUACUAAUGGACCAUACUACCAAGGACCAGUCCACCUGAACCACACACUCUAAAGAAAUAUUUUUUAAGAUAACUUUUAUUUUCUUCUUAUUCCUUUCCUCUUGAUUUUUUUCCUAUAAUUUCAUUCUUGUUUUUUCAUCUCAUUAUCCAAGUUCUGCAGACCACACAGGAACUUGCUUCAUGGCUCUUUAGAUGAAAUAGAAGUUCAGGGUUCCUCACCCUAGUCACUAAAGAAGGAUUUUACUCUCCCAGCCCAGAAAGGUGAUUCUUUCUUUACCAUUUCUGGGGACUUUAGUCUUAAUUAGGUACCUUAUUAACAGGAAAUGCUAAGGUACCUUCUCUGUGGAACAAUCUGCAAUGUCUAAAUCGCCU